GCAGGCUCCGUGCUGGUGCAUCGAACUGUUGACACUUCAUCUGCUUCAAUCCUUCCCCAAGUGAACCUUUUCCUUGUGGGUUYGUAAGGUAUCCUGUGUUGCUUACCAAUGGAAUGGAAUUUGUUGGCUUUGUAACGUGGAUUCGCCUUGCCCCCAUUUGGGUGUGCGGUGGACUUGAGGCGAGCUUUGUGUUCCCAGCAUGCCAUGUGCUUCUGUAUUUGGUUGUUGUGGACCAUGGGGUCUUUGCUUGUUUUCUUGGAUGCAGAAUGCUAUGUGUGGGUGUGAGGUCUUGACCUCAACUCGCCUAAACACUUUUUCGCUCGAAUGACUACUGCGCUUGUCUUGAUCUUCCCGACCGAGGCCUCAUAAUGGGGCUUACCGGACGAGGGGGGAACAUGCUGGUGUCAGUGUCAAAGAGGAAAGC
rnacentral:misc_RNA from 1 species